rnacentral:lncRNA from 1 species
CUUUCAGAAACACUGCAAAAAGUCUAUGGCACCGUUGAGUUUUUAUCUUUAUCAAUAAGGCUGCUUCCUGGCCAUCACAGGAUUUUAAUACUAUACUGCUAUUCUUACUGGCUGAACCCACAGCUGGAGUUGCCUCAAAAGUGGUGGCGGGGGAGUUUCCACAAGGGACUGCCCCAAACUGUUCCAGAUAGGGCCAGAUGAGAGUCCAAAAAAAGAGGCACUAAAUGCCAGGGUGAUCAGUCUAAAGGAUUUAUUAGGGGAACUUACACAGGAGGGCUGCAGUUUAUAGGAGGGUUUAAGGAAUUUGGCUCAGGGUUGGGGCUGGUUUCUGUGUGUUUAGCAACAUACUUGAUCUUUUAGUGUUUUGGGCCACAACCUGAACAACUUUAUCAGUGCCUGAGAAUGUUCAAGGCCCCAGUUUGGGUCCAAACCUAUGGUGGAAAACAUGCAGCUGGCUAGGUCACAGAGCGGGACAAGGCACUCUGUUUUUCUAUUGGGACACAGAAAGAAAGCAGGGAGAACUGGGGACCCUACAACUGCCCACUCAACUGUAGAAUUCUAGUCACACAGUUCAAGAAAUUUUUCAAUUUUCAAUUAGUAAUAUGUGAGUUUCCCCAGUAAAAAUUUGUGCAUUCUAAAAGUAAUUAUUUUUGGCCUUUUUAGGGGGAGUACUGUAAAUCAAGAAAAAGUUUUUGUAUGUUAAAAGGGAAAAUGCCUCAUGUUUUUGGGAAAAAUGAAUAGUUCCAGGUUACAGUAGAAAAAUAGCAGUAUAGAAAUAUAGUAAGAAUGUAAAAUUCUGUACUUUUCGAACAUCAUGGUUAAAUGAUAAUUCUUUCCCUUUCCUGCUUUAUGCAGUUAAUAUUUAUUUUCUACUAAUUAAUAAACAUUGUCUUUUAAUGUCCUGAAUGUCCAUCGAGAUUACAACUGUUUAUGAAGAGAUUCUAAUACCAUGUUUUUUGUAAUGUAGGUGAAAAAUGUGGUAUACUUACCUAUGUAUAAUAGUGCAAGCAGCCAUUUCCAAAAACGACUUCCUAUAGGCAAGAGGACUUCUCUUUAUUUUCUGAAUGUUUUACAGUGAACAUAUUGGUUUUGUACUUAAUAACAUCCCGCCUUUUUUUUUUUUUUUUGAGACAGUGUCUCUCUUUGUCACCCAGGCUGGAGUACAGUGGCGUGAUCUCAGCUGACUAUAGCCUCUGCCUCCCGGGUUCAAGUGAUUCUCCUGCCUCAGCCUCCUGAGUAGCUGGGAAUACAGGCAUGCGCCACCACGCCUGGCUGGUUUUUGUAGUGUUAGCAGAGAUGGGGUUUCACCAUGGGGAUGGUCAGGCCAGUCUCGAACUCCUGACCUUGUGAUUGCCCACCUCGGCCUUCCAAAGUGCUGGGAUUACAGGCAUGAGCCACCGCGCCCAGCCAACAUCCUGCCCUUUUAAAAAAUUUCCUUUUAUUAAACAAAUUAAGUUCAUGUAUAGUCUCAAUAAAGCGUUUGCAAAUCCAUUAUAUGCUCCUUGACCAAAAUACAGAUUACAUGUGCACUUAGAAAGAAUUUUUUUUCUUCUAAUAGAGUAAUCUAAAAGUCUAACCUUCUCCAUUUUUAAAAGCUUUAGCCAAUUAUUUAGUAAGCAUUGGUUUGAAAUACAUUCAUGACAUUUCAUAGAGGAGUUAUUUCUUCUCUGGUAUCUGUGAAGGUUUCUUUAUAUCUAUUACAUCAAAUAGUAAGACUUCAAAUUAUUGCCGCUAUGAAGAUACAUCAGUAUUUUAAUGAACUGGCCAGGUUUUUUCCCUUAAUAAGCAAUGAGUAAAAUAAUUUAUUUUGAAAACUCACUACAUUUAUCUCUUUCUUUAAUACGGAAGAAUAAUGCCCUGCACACCUGCCUUAGACUAACUUGAAUCUUUGUUAUACAUCAACCAUAAAGAGUUAUGUUAUUUUGGGCUGGGCACGGUGGCUCAUGCCUGUAAUCGCAGCACUUUGGGAGGCUGAGGCGGGCGAAUCAGUUGGGGUCAGGAGUUCAAGACCAGCCUGGCCAACAUGGUAAAACCCCGCGUCUGCUAAAAGUACAAAAAUUAGCUGGGCAUGGUGGUGCGCGCCUGUAAUCCUACUCGGGAGGUUGACACAAGAGAAUCGCUUGAACCGCAUCCCCCACCCCCCUCUGGGAGGCGGAGGUUGCAGUGUGCUGAGAUCGAGCCACUGCAGUCCGGCUUCUGCCACAGGGUGAGACUCUGUCUC